rnacentral:rRNA from 1 species
ACGCACGCUGGCGGCGUGCUUAACACAUGCCAGUCGAACGGAAAGGCCCUGCUUUUGUGGGGUGCUCGAGUGGCGAACGGGUGAGUAACACGUGAGUAACCUGCCCUUGACUUUGGGAUAACUUCAGGAAACUGGGGCUAAUACCGGAUAGGAGCUCCUGCUGGAUGGUGGGGGUUGGAAAGUUUCGGCGGUUGGGGAUGGACUCGCGGCUUAUCAGCUUGUUGGUGGGGUAGUGGCUUACCAAGGCUUUGACGGGUAGCCGGCCUGAGAGGGUGACCGGCCACAUUGGGACUGAGAUACGGCCCAGACUCCUACGGGAGGCAGCAGUGGGGAAUAUUGCACAAUGGGCGGAAGCCUGAUGCAGCAACGCCGCGUGCGGGAUGACGGCCUUCGGGUUGUAAACCGCUUUCGCCUGUGACGAAGCGUGAGUGACGGUAAUGGGUAAGGAAGCACCGGCUAACUACGUG